rnacentral:rRNA from 1 species
CCUACUGGAGGCUGCAGUGGGGAAUAUUGCACAAUGGGGGAAACCCUGAUGCAGCAACGCCGCGUGAAGGAAGACGGUUUUCGGAGUGUAAAAUUCUGUUCUUAGAGAAGAAGAAUGACGGGAGCUAAGGAGCAAGCCACGGCUAACUACGUGCCAGCAGCCGCGGUAAGACGAAGGGGGCAAGGGUUGUCCGGAAUUACGGGGGGUAAAGGGAGCGGAGGCGGGAAGCCAAGUCAGCUGUGAAAACUACGGGCUUAACUUUUAGACUGCAGUUGAAACUGGUUUUCUUGAGUGAAGUAGCGGUUGGCGGAAUUCCGCGUGUAGCGGUGACCUGCGUAGCUAUUCG